rnacentral:sRNA from 1 species
CUCUGUUUCUCAGAUCUAAUCUCUCCCUCAUGAAAACCGCCAAGGCACUGCACUGAAUAUGAGAUGACUCUAGCCACUGAUGUAUAGUACACAGGCACCUAUUUUAGCAAUAUAAGCUGUUUCUGGUGACAGAGGCUUUGAGUGCAACUCAUAGGUCAUUGUAAAUUAUCAAAGGGAGGCAGAAAAUAUUGCAAGUGCAUUCACUGUGUCUUUACCGCGCUAAUGUGGUCCUGUGUUUGUUUCACUCUCAUCAUCUCAGGUGUCUUUCCGAUAGCCGUUCCUGGUGAGACAUCCUCUUUAUAUAAAACCUGGGCAUUCAGAAUCAAGACAGUGUUACACAGAAGAAAAGAAAACCCAGCAGUUCCUGGAGAAAGACUAGGACACAUGGCUUCUGUGAAAACAAGGCAUUAGACGAUGUUCCCAGGUCACACUGGUAUUGGAGCUAUGAAGAAAGAGUAAACAUCUUGUUAAGAUUUCAACAUUGCUUUGCUUUCUUUUUUUGUCGUAUAUUAUGUGAAGAAAAUUAAAAUCGUGUAUCUUU